rnacentral:rRNA from 1 species
UGGGGAAUAUUGCACAAUGGGGGAAACCCUGAUGCAGCGACGCCGCGUGAGUGAAGAAGUAUUUCGGUAUGUAAGCUCUAUCAGCAGGGAAGAAAAUGACGGUACCUGACUAAGAAGCCCCGGCUAACUACGUGCC